rnacentral:lncRNA from 1 species
GACCGGUGGUACAACAUGGAGUUCCGCCGAGGGUGGACAAAGGAGAGCCCAGCUGCUGAGCGGCCUGACUCCAGUUCCAGAGUUUGAAUGUAUUUCUUUACAUGAAGAGGACCUAGGGAUGAAAAAGUGAAUUCAGUUUUGUUUUAUAAUUUCUCACCUCUCAGCACAUCAGAAGUAAAUAUUGGCCCUGCACACUUGGAUCCUUCUAAGCAGUGGAUGCUUCUGUCAGGCUGAGACUAAGCUUUGUAGAAGAGGAGGAAGACAAGAGCUACCAUCUGGAGAGCAGAACGUUUUGGGAAGCCAUCAAAGGCAAAGAACCUAAGAAUCCAGGAAGAUCUUGAACUAUUACCCUUUACUUUAAUUUUUAAUCAUGGAAAUAUUUGCUUGGAAAAGAGACUGUGUCUACAAUGGCAACCAUUUUUAUAUUCAGAAAUUUGCCAUGUAAAAUAAUUGAAUGUCAGAUGAAGAACUG